rnacentral:miRNA from 1 species
CCAUUUUCCAUUGCAGUCGCUUUGCCCGCGCGGGCAAAGCGACUGCAAUGGAAAAUGG